CCUACGGGAGGCAGCAGUGAGGAAUAUUGGUCAAUGGACGAGAGUCUGAACCAGCCAAGUAGCGUGAAGGAUGACUGCCCUAUGGGUUGUAAACUUCUUUUAUAUGGGAAUAAAAUGUUCCACGUGUGGGAUUUUGUAUGUACCAUAUGAAUAAGGAUCGGCUAACUCCGUGCCAGCAGCCGCGGUAAUACGGAGGAUCCGAGCGUUAUCCGGAUUUAUUGGGGUUAAAGGGAGCGUAGGUGGAUUGUUAAGUCAGUUGUGAAAGUUUGCGGCUCAACCGUAAAAUUGCAGUUGAAACUGGCAGUCUUGAGUACAGUAGAGGUGAGCGGAAUUCGUGGUGUAGCAGUGAAAUGCUUAGAUAUCACGAAGAACUCCGAUUGCGGAGGCAGCUCACUGGACUGCAACUGACACUGGGGCUCGAAAGUGUGGGUAUCAGACAGGAUUAGGUGCCCGAGUAGUC
rnacentral:rRNA from 1 species